rnacentral:antisense_RNA from 1 species
AUUGAACUGCAAGGGUUCACUUACAUGUAAAUGUUCUUCCACCUCUGCCACCCCUAAGACAGCAAGACCAACCCUCCUCUUCCUCCUCUUCCUCAGUCUAUUCAGUGUGAAGACAAAGAUGAAGACUCUUAUGAUGAUCCACUUUCACAUAAUGAAUAGCAUUGAGAUAAUGAAGAGCAUCCCAGAGGAAACACCAUGGGAGGGAAUACCCAGCCACAACCCAUCUUCGAACCUGUUGCGAUGCUGCAGAAAUCAGAGGAGCUGGCCAGUUAAUGCUGAGAAUUUCAUCGGGGCUAACAGCAUGAAAGCUUUCAAAUUAUUAAUAUUUUGAUUCAUGGCACAUUUAUGGGUCUAGUCUAUCCUAAGAACAUUAUAAAGAGACAUUUCCUUGGAUCUGUCUGUGUUUCUGAAACUGAUUCAAUACCAGAUAGAAGUUCGCAGAGCAGUGUGCAAGUCACAUGCCAUCUCAGUGUAACUGACUUACCCAUAUUUGUCAGCCAGUUCCCGAGCUUGCCGUUCAUUGACUUCCCUCUGAUCUUAUGUGCCUGCUCCCCUGUCACCUUCCC